CGACUUMGAGUUUGAUCCUGGCUCAGGACGAACGCUGGCGGCSUGCUUAACACAUGCAAGUCGAACGAGAAGAGAUGAGAAGCUUGCUUCUUAUCAAUUCGAGUGGCAAACGAGUGAGUAACGCGUAGGCAACCUGCCCUUCAGAUGGGGACAACAGCUGGAAACGGCUGCUAAUACCGAAUACGUUCUUUUUGUCSCAUGGCAGAGGGAAGAAAGGGAGGCUCUUCGGAGCUUUCSCUGAAGGAGAGGCUUGCGUCCGAUUAGCUAGUUGGAGGGGUAACGGCCCMCCAAGGCGACGAUCAGUAGCCGGUCUGAGAGGAUGAACGGCCACMUUGGGACUGAGACACGGCCCAGACUCCUACGGGAGGCAGCAGUGGGGAAUCUUCCGCAAUGGACGAAAGUCUGACGGAGCAACGCCGCGUGAACGAUGACGGCCUUCGGGUUGUAAAGUUCUGUUAUACGGGACGAAUGGUGUAGCGGUCAAUACCCGUUACGAGUGACGGUACCGUAAGGGAAAGCCGCGGCUAACUACGUGCCAGCAGCCGCGGUAAUAC
rnacentral:rRNA from 1 species